UAAAGGGGCUGAAGGACGGCCGUAACGGCAGCGGGGUGGGGGCGAAGGUCUCCGUUUCCCCUUGCAGGAACCUUCGAAAAAGAUAAUAAUUCCCGUUCAGUCAUUGUGAAGUUUUGUUGUAACAGCCGUAGUUCGCGACAGAGACAGCGAAGCCUAGAGAAGCUCGCCAGGAACAGCGCUACCCCUGCGGCCCCACGACCCUCAGGGCAGCGGCACUCGGCCCUACUGCUCACAGUGAAAGCAAGGCGGAGCGCCGAGCCAGGCGGCGCAGAGGGGUUUUGUUUUACAGAUUUCACCCCCAGCCCUGUUCCUCCUUGCACUGUUGCUAACAAGACAUGUCAUCUGACAAAGUGCAAGCUCACAGUCACUGCUGCUAGGUGUACAAGACUACUUCACACAGCAACUUCUAUGAAGAUGAUCAACUGACCUGCUGAAAACAAAUUAAGCAGCUUCUGAAAACAAAGCGAGUCAAACAGCGGCAGUUACAGUGAUAUUACCACGAGUCAUACCAGUCAUACAGAGAUAUUACCAGGAACAUGCCAGCUAUGCUGUCUUCAAAUAGCACCCAAGUUCACCUUGAACAGUCCAUCGAAAUCUUCUGCAGUAUGAGAGUAUACUGGUG
rnacentral:lncRNA from 1 species